rnacentral:rRNA from 1 species
GGGUUGUGAGGUUAAGCGACUAAGCGUACACGGUGGAUGCCCUGGCAGUCAGAGGCGAUGAAGGACGUGCUAAUCUGCGAAAAGCGUCGGUAAGGUGAUAUGAACCGUUAUAACCGGCGAUGUCCGAAUGGGGAAACCCAGUGUGAUUCGUCACACUAUCGUUAACUGAAUACAUAGGUUAACGAGGCGAACCGGGGGAACUGAAACAUCUAAGUACCCCGAGGAAAAGAAAUCAACCGAGAUUCCCCCAGUAGCGGCGAGCGAACGGGGAGCAGCCCAGAGUCUGAAUCAGCUUGUGUGUUAGUGGAACGGUCUGGAAAGUCCGACGGUACAGGGUGAUAGUCCCGUACACCAAAAUGCACAGGCUGUGAACUCGAAGAGUAGGGCGGGACACGUGGUAUCCUGUCUGAAUAUGGGGGGACCAUCCUCCAAGGCUAAAUACUCCUGACUGACCGAUAGUGAACCAGUACCGUGAGGGAAAGGCGAAAAGAACCCCGGCGAGGGGAGUGAAAAAGAACCUGAAACCGUGUACGUACAAGCAGUGGGAGCACCUUCGGGUGUGACUGCGUACCUUUUGUAUAAUGGGUCAGCGACUUAUAUUCUGUAGCAAGGUUAACCGUAUAGGGGAGCCGCAGGGAAACCGAGUCUUAACUGGGCGUUAAGUUGCAGGGUAUAGACCCGAAACCCGGUGAUCUAGCCAUGGGCAGGUUGAAGGUUGGGUAACACUAACUGGAGGACCGAACCGACUAAUGUUGAAAAAUUAGCGGAUGACUUGUGGCUGGGGGUGAAAGGCCAAUCAAACCGGGAGAUAGCUGGUUCUCCCCGAAAGCUAUUUAGGUAGCGCCUCGUGAACUCAUCUUCGGGGGUAGAGCACUGUUUCGGCUAGGGGGUCAUCCCGACUUACCAACCCGAUGCAAACUACGAAUACCGAAGAAUGUUAUCACGGGAGACACACGGCGGGUGCUAACGUCCGUCGUGAAGAGGGAAACAACCCAGACCGCCAGCUAAGGUCCCAAAGUCAUGGUUAAGUGGGAAACGAUGUGGGAAGGCACAGACAGCCAGGAUGUUGGCUUAGAAGCAGCCAUCAUUUAAAGAAAGCGUAAUAGCUCACUGGUCGAGUCGGCCUGCGCGGAAGAUGUAACGGGGCUAAACCAUGCACCGAAGCUGCGGCAGCGACACUAUGUGUUGUUGGGUAGGGGAGCGUUCUGUAAGCCUGCGAAGGUGACCUGUGAGGGUUGCUGGAGGUAUCAGAAGUGCGAAUGCUGACAUAAGUAACGAUAAAGCGGGUGAAAAGCCCGCUCGCCGGAAGACCAAGGGUUCCUGUCCAACGUUAAUCGGGGCAGGGUGAGUCGACCCCUAAGGCGAGGCCGAAAGGCGUAGUCGAUGGGAAACAGGUUAAUAUUCCUGUACUUGGUGUUACUGCGAAGGGGGGACGGAGAAGGCUAUGUUAGCCGGGCGACGGUUGUCCCGGUUUAAGCAUGUAGGCUGAUUGUCCAGGCAAAUCCGGAUAAUCAAGGCUGAGGUGUGAUGACGAGGCACUACGGUGCUGAAGUAACAAAUGCCCUGCUUCCAGGAAAAGCCUCUAAGCAUCAGGUAACAUCAAAUCGUACCCCAAACCGACACAGGUGGUCAGGUAGAGAAUACCAAGGCGCUUGAGAGAACUCGGGUGAAGGAACUAGGCAAAAUGGUGCCGUAACUUCGGGAGAAGGCACGCUGGUGUGUAGGUGAAGCCCCUGCGGGUGGAGCUGAGACCAGUCGAAGAUACCAGCUGGCUGCAACUGUUUAUUAAAAACACAGCACUGUGCAAACACGAAAGUGGACGUAUACGGUGUGACGCCUGCCCGGUGCCGGAAGGUUAAUUGAUGGGGUUAUCCGUAAGGAGAAGCUCUUGAUCGAAGCCCCGGUAAACGGCGGCCGUAACUAUAACGGUCCUAAGGUAGCGAAAUUCCUUGUCGGGUAAGUUCCGACCUGCACGAAUGGCGUAAUGAUGGCCAGGCUGUCUCCACCCGAGACUCAGUGAAAUUGAACUCGCUGUGAAGAUGCAGUGUACCCGCGGCAAGACGGAAAGACCCCGUGAACCUUUACUAUAGCUUGACACUGAACAUUGAGCCUUGAUGUGUAGGAUAGGUGGGAGGCUUUGAAGCGUGGACGCCAGUCUGCGUGGAGCCAACCUUGAAAUACCACCCUUUAAUGUUUGAUGUUCUAACGUUGGCCCCUUACCGGGGUUGCGGACAGUGUCUGGUGGGUAGUUUGACUGGGGCGGUCUCCUCCCAAAGCGUAACGGAGGAGCACGAAGGUUAGCUAAUCCUGGUCGGACAUCAGGAGGUUAGUGCAAUGGCAUAAGCUAGCUUGACUGCGAGCGUGACGGCGCGAGCAGGUGCGAAAGCAGGUCAUAGUGAUCCGGUGGUUCUGAAUGGAAGGGCCAUCGCUCAACGGAUAAAAGGUACUCCGGGGAUAACAGGCUGAUACCGCCCAAGAGUUCAUAUCGACGGCGGUGUUUGGCACCUCGAUGUCGGCUCAUCACAUCCUGGGGCUGAAGUAGGUCCCAAGGGUAUGGCUGUUCGCCAUUUAAAGUGGUACGCGAGCUGGGUUUAGAACGUCGUGAGACAGUUCGGUCCCUAUCUGCCGUGGGCGCUGGAGAAUUGAGGGGGCUGCUCCUAGUACGAGAGGACCGGAGUGGACGCAUCACUGGUGUUCGGGUUGUCAUGCCAAUGGCACUGCCCGGUAGCUAAAUGCGGAAGAGAUAAGUGCUGAAAGCAUCUAAGCACGAAACUUGCCCCGAGAUGAGUUCUCCCUGAGACUUUAAGUCUCCUGAAGGAACGUUGAAGACGACGACGUUGAUAGGCCGGGUGUGUAAGCGCAGCGAUGCGUUGAGCUAACCGGUACUAAUGAACCGUGAGGCUUAACCUUACAACGCCGAAG